rnacentral:rRNA from 1 species
AAAUUGAAGAGUUUGAUCAUGGCUCAGAUUGAACGCUGGCGGCAGGCCUAACACAUGCAAGUCGAACGGUAACAGGAAGCAGCUUGCUGCUUUGCUGACGAGUGGCGGACGGGUGAGUAAUGUCUGGGAAACUGCCUGAUGGAGGGGGAUAACUACUGGAAACGGUAGCUAAUACCGCAUAACGUCGCAAGACCAAAGAGGGGGACCUUCGGGCCUCUUGCCAUCGGAUGUGCCCAGAUGGGAUUAGCUAGUAGGUGGGGUAACGGCUCACCUAGGCGACGAUCCCUAGCUGGUCUGAGAGGAUGACCAGCCACACUGG